rnacentral:lncRNA from 1 species
AAAUCUGACUUGUCAUUUCUUCCAUUCCUAGAAUGUCCCAGUUAUCUUACGAAUCAUUUGGAAUCUUGAGGACAGUUCACUUCUAGAAUACCAAUUGGGGUUGUUGCCUUGUUGAUAACCUGCCAUGGAAGAAAUAAGAAAAAUAAUAAAGUGAAAUUUCUCACAAAAAUAUAAGGCUAGCUAAUCAAGAAAUGUUCUGAUGUUUGCAUUGGCGGAUGCACGAGGGGGGCUGGGGUGGCUGCAGCCCCCCUCUUGGGCUCAAAUUUUUUUAACAAAUUUUCUUUUUUUAGCAAAAGACUUCAUAUAUUUGGUAUUUUUCUAUGCUUAUUUUAUGAAUCUUUGCCUUUGAACACUUUGAAUCAAUAUUGAAUUAUCAAUCUUAGCUAUAUCUAUUAGGCCUUGUUUAGUUCCCAAAAUAUUUUGCAAAAUUUCUCAGAUUUCCCAUCACAUCCACAUGCAUGAAGCACUAAAUAUAGAUAAAAGAAAUAACUAAUUACACAGUCUACCUGUAAUUUGCGAGACGAAUCUUUUGAGCCUAGUUAGUCCAUGAUCGAACAAUAUUUGUCAAAUAUAAACGAAAAUGCUACUAUUUCUAUUUUGCAAAAAAAAAUGGAACUAAACAAAGGCCUUAGUGUAUUGGAUUGAGCGAGAAAAAAAAAUUUAGCAUGUAUUAUUUAGCCCUCCUCUUCGUCAAUUUCUGGAUCCGCCACUGGAUGUUUGUUCUGUCAUAUUUAGGUGUAGUAGUAAUGAUUUAGAAUUGGUUGUGCACAUUGGUUUCUUGUUUCUGACAUGGUUUGACCAGCUUAUUUUUGCU